AAAUUGAAGAGUUUGAUCAUGGCUCAGAUUGAACGCUGGCGGCAGGCCUAACACAUGCAAGUCGAACGGUAACAGAAAACAGCUUGCUGCUUUGCUGACGAGUGGCGGACGGGUGAGUAAUGUCUGGGAAACUGCCUGAUGGAGGGGGAUAACUACUGGAAACGGUAGCUAAUACCGCAUAACGUCGCAAGACCAAAGAGGGGGACCUUCGGGCCUCUUGCCAUCGGAUGUGCCCAGAUGGGAUUAGCUUGUUGGUGGGGUAACGGCUCACCAAGGCGACGAUCCCUAGCUGGUCUGAGAGGAUGACCAGCCACACUGGAACUGAGACACGGUCCAGACUCCUACGGGAGGCAGCAGUGGGGAAUAUUGCACAAUGGGCGCAAGCCUGAUGCAGCCAUGC
rnacentral:rRNA from 1 species